rnacentral:rRNA from 1 species
GACGAACGCUGGCGGCGUGCUUAACACAUGCAAGUCGAGCGAUGAAGCACCUUCGGGUGUGGAUUAGCGGCGAACGGGUGAGGAAAACGUGAGGAAUCUGCCUUCCACUCUGGGAUAACUCCGGGAAACCGGGGCUAAUACCGGAUAUUUUCAACUGGCGUCAUCGCCGGUUGAAGAACGGUCUUCGGGGGAAGAUGACCUGUGGGCCUAUCAGCUUGUUGGUGAGGUAAAGGCUCACCAAGGCGCCGACGGGUAGCCGGCCUGAGAGGGUGACCGGCCACACUGGGACUGAGACACGGCCCAGACUCCUACGGGAGGCAGCAGUGGGGAAUAUUGGGCAAUGGAGGAAACUCUGACCCAGCGACGCCGCGUGAGGGAUGAAGGCCUUCGGGUUGUAAACCUCUUUCAGCAGGGAAUAAGCGAAAGUGAAGGUACCUGCAGAAGAAGCACCGGCUAACUAUGUGCCAGCCGCCGCUGUAACAC